rnacentral:rRNA from 1 species
UACGGAGGGGGCAAGCGUUAUCCGGAUUCACUGGGUUUAAAGGGUGCGUAGGUGGGCAGGUAAGUCAGUGGUGAAAUCUCCGGGCUUAACUCGGAAACUGCCAUUGAUACUAUCUGUCUUGAAUACCGUGGAGGUUAGCGGAAUAUGUCAUGUAGCGGUGAAAUGCUUAGAUAUGACAUAGAACACCAAUUGCGAAGGCAGCUGGCUACACGAAUAUUGACACUGAUGCACGAAAGCGUGGGGAUCAAACAGG